CAGAUCACUUCUAAUGGCAACAAUUGUUAUACAACUUGUUUAGCGUAGGGGCUUACUCAGUGUUGCUUUUUUUUUAAUCAAUCAGCAGUAAUUAACUUAUUCUAAUCACAUUUCGCUCUCUUAAAAAGUGAUACAAAUUGGAAGACCGUGUUUGGCAUAGUGUUUAAUUACUUGAUUAUAAACUAUCUUAAAAGUAACGUUUAAAAAACAUAUAUCACUAUGUAGCUCUAGAUAUUGACUAGCUACGUCCAAGUAAGGUUACUCUAAUGGCUGCACGGCGGCGCACCGCCUUAGAGGAUCACCAGGACAUAACUGAUGUCAUGAACUCAUGUACUCACUCCAUCGCUACUGAUGUGGAUUUUCGUUACUUAAGACCACACUUAGUCCCAAUAUUUUCUAGAAACGUGCUUAGUAUGGCAGAGGGUUCUGGCAGGUCAUCUUUUGAAAUUAUGACUCGAAUAUGUGAUGAUGCUAAAAAACUGUCCAUGGAAGACUUUAUAAAAUUUGUAAUUGCAUUAAAAGAUGAGUACAAAGAUGUGGCUGACGUUGUAUGCCAGAAGUACCGAGAAAAAACUGGGCAAAAUUUAAUUCCAGAUUGACGAAGAAGAAGAUAUAGAUAUUCAAGGCUACGCGUAAAACAGACAUAUUCUGAUACAUUUUUGUACACUUAAAAUAUGUCUAGCUGCAUAAUUAUUUGGCUUAAAUUAUUAUAGUUUCACAUUAGCAAAUUUAUCUUUUUAUAUUAUUCUGUAUAUUUUUUAAAGCACAUUUUUUUACACGUUACAAUACUAAAUGUUAGACCUACUAUAAUAAUUAUAUUAAAUAACAUUGUAAACUAUAUUUUCCAUGAAUCUGAAAUAAAUGUUGCAUAUUAU